rnacentral:rRNA from 1 species
UACGGAGGGUGCAAGCGUUGUUCGGAAUUAUUGGGCGUAAAGGGCGUGUAGGUGGCUUUCCAAGUCCGGUGUGAAAUCCCACGGCUCAACCGUGGAACUGCAUUGGAAACUGGAUGGCUCGAGGGUUGGAGGGGUCGCGGAAUUCCCGGUGUGAGUGGUGAAAUGCGUAGAUAUCUGGAGGAACACCGGUGGCGAAGGCGGCAUCCUGGACCGGUAUUGACACUGAGGCGCGAAAGCCAGGGGAGCAAACGGG